rnacentral:rRNA from 2 species
UGCAAGUCGAACGCGUUGGCCCAAUUGAUUGAUGGUGCUUGCACCUGAUUGAUUUUGGUCGCCAACGAGUGGCGGACGGGUGAGUAACACGUAGGUAACCUGCCCAGAAGCGGGGGACAACAUUUGGAAACAGAUGCUAAUACCGCAUAACAGCGUUGUUCGCAUGAACAACGCUUAAAAGAUGGCUUCUCGCUAUCACUUCUGGAUGGACCUGCGGUGCAUUAGCUUGUUGGUGGGGUAACGGCCUACCAAGGCGAUGAUGCAUAGCCGAGUUGAGAGACUGAUCGGCCACAAUGGGACUGAGACACGGCCCAUACUCCUACGGGAGGCAGCAGUAGGGAAUCUUCCACAAUGGGCGCAAGCCUGAUGGAGCAACACCGCGUGAGUGAAGAAGGGUUUCGGCUCGUAAAGCUCUGUUGUUAAAGAAGAACACGUAUGAGAGUAACUGUUCAUACGUUGACGGUAUUUAACCAGAAAGUCACGGCUAACUACGUGCCAGCAGCCGCGGUAAUACGUAGGUGGCAAGCGUUAUCCGGAUUUAUUGGGCGUAAAGAGAGUGCAGGCGGUUUUCUAAGUCUGAUGUGAAAGCCUUCGGCUUAACCGGAGAAGUGCAUCGGAAACUGGAUAACUUGAGUG